AACGAACGCUGGCGGCGUGCCUAACACAUGCAAGUCGAACGGGAAAACCCGCAAGGGUGAGUACAGUGGCGCACGGGUGUGUAACACGUGGGUAAUCUGCCCAGAAGCCCGGAAUAACUCCCCGAAAGGGGUGCUAAUGCCGGAUGAGACCACGGGGACUUCGGUUCCUGGGGGAAAAGGUGGCCUCUGUAUACAAGCUAUCACUUCUGGAUGAGCCCGCGGCCCAUCAGCUAGUUGGCGGGGUAAUGGCCCACCAAGGCUAUGACGGGUAGCUGGUCUGAGAGGACGAUCAGCCACACUGGAACUGAGACACGGUCCAGACUCCUACGGGAGGCAGCAGUGGGGAAUCUUGCGCAAUGGGCGAAAGCCUGACGCAGCAACGCCGCGUGUGUGAUGAAGGUCUUCGGAUCGUAAAGCACUGUCGGGAGGGACGAAUAAGGGCCGGGUGAACAAUCCGGUUCGACGACGGUACCUCCAGAGGAAGCACCGGCUAACUCUGUGCCAGCCGCCGCCGUAAUAC
rnacentral:rRNA from 1 species